GACGCCCAAACAGAAACGGGAAUAAGAGGUUUGAGCCUGAUCUUAUGGAGGGAAAAGCUAUUCUUCUUUGCCUUAUGGUGCUUGUGCAGCUAGGAAAUUCCGUUCAUGUUGACAAAUGUAGGGCGGUAAUUGCCUUUUCAGGCACCACAUGCAUUGAACUAUCUUGCAUAUUGGCCUGCCAGAAGUCCUUCGGAGAUCACGCCAUAAACUCGGCAUGUAGGCUCGUUGGCCUAGCCACUCUGAAUUGUUACUGCAAGGUCUGUUUCUAGAGUUGCACUAAACCAUUGUACGUAUCAAAUAAUGGAUAAUGAUGAGAUCCAGCAAUAAAAUCCUCUUUGUGACAUGCA